AUGGGGCUGCCCGACUGCCCUGUGCCAAGGACCAUGCCUGGCCGCUGGGGCUGUGGGGCUGGAUUUGGGGCUGGAUUUGCAUCUCUGGGGGGAAAUGGCAGCCCCCGGGGGGCUUCCACACCAGCCUUCAGGCACUGUGGCCGCUGCUGGUCCCUGGGCUGGGUUCAGAGCCUUCCCUUCCCUUCCCUGGCAGGUCCACCACAUCUUGCAGGAGGUGGUGAUCGGUGGCAUGGUGCUGGAGACCAACAUGAACGAGAUCGUGGCGCAGGUGGAGGCCCAGAGCAAGCUGGAGAAGGCGGAGGGAGGCCUCUCGGCCGCUCCUUCCCGCGCUGUCUCAGCCGUGAAGAACAUCAACCUGCCAGAGAUCCCUCGCAACAUCAACAUCGGAGACAUCAACAUCAAAGUGCCCAACCUCUCACAGUUCAUCCUCUCUCCUGGCUGGGGAAGAGCCAGUUCCUGCUUCUCCCAGAGCUUCUCGAGAUUCCUGGUUGUAAAAAUGCACUUGUAGCUGAUGGCUCCCGCAGGAGCCACAGGUUGUCACCUCCUCCCUGGGAUGGACUGUCCCGUGCCCUGCAUCCCUGUGCCCGCCCUGCUCCCCGUCGCUGGGUCUGGCCCCCCGCGAUGGGCUUGGGACCAGCCUGGUCGGGGUUGAGAGCGGGAGGGUCUGCCAGGUCUGGAGCUGGGGCUGGAGUGGGGGGAACCUGCUGGGCCGGGGGGUGCCGGGGGUCAGAGGGGGGCCACCUCCUGCCCUGCCUGGGCUGUGGGGCAGGGGAGCAGUGGGGCUGGGACCUCCUGGAGCAUGUCCCCAUGUCCCAAUAAACCACCCUGUGAACCUGCUGUGUCUGUGUCUGCCGUGAGGGGCUGCUGGACCAGCCCCGGGGGGAGCCCGGGAGGGGGCUGUGGCAGUCGGGGUCCUCUGCAGCACCUGUGGGGCGGCUGCAACCCUGGGGGGCUCUUGACGGUUGGGCAGGCAGGUGCUCAGGGGGAAAGAUGGUGCCCUGCUCCCCCUCUGGGGGAGGGCUGGGGUUGCUGCAGGGUGGGCUGUGGGGCAGGGUCCCUGGCUGUGCCCUAGGGGGCAUCCCUGGGCAGAGCAUCCCUGGUCUGCUCUUGGGGCAACUAUGAGCCCCGUAGGGCUCAGUGGGGCAUGUGAGGGCUGUGGGGCUGGAGCUAGUGUCCCUCCACAAGGCCUGGGGGAGUGGGGCUGGUCCUGGGGGUCCAUGGACUGAGUGUGGCUGCGGGGGACAGGCCAGGCAGGGGGCUCCCUGAGCAGAGGGGGCUCCUCAGGGCCCCAUCUGGCCACCAGCCUGGGGGCUGGCUCAGGGGCCCCUUCCUCUGCUUCCCCUCCGGCGGCCGGUCCAGCUGCGUCCCGCGGGCUCUGCCUCCACUUCCCCUGGCAGGGAAACCGUGACUCUGCCUGGAAGGAAUUUUCCUGUCGUCUCCCCUCCCUGCGGCUUAACCCUUCCCCAGCUGGCCAUGAGCCACUGCCAGGGGCCGUGGAGGUCAAGGAGCUGGGCAACCUCCUUCUUCCUCUUUUCCGCCAGCCCCCCUUCUCUUCCUCCUCUUCCUCCUCCUCCUCGUGCUGUCAGCUGCCGGAGCAGCGUGGUGCAGGGACCAGGUGAGCGGUGCUGUGUCCCAGGGGUGGCACACGGGGUCCGACGGGCACUGGGACAGUGGGAGGGGGAAACCCCGGCUUGCCCCAGGGUGAGGGACGCAGCGCGGAGCCCUCGUCCCGCUGCGGGGGCACUGGAGGCGUCGGGCUGGGGCAGGUGGUCCUGGCUGCGACGGGCCGUGCCCGUGCCCAGCCCUGUGCCGUGGCACG
ensembl:lncRNA